rnacentral:rRNA from 1 species
GAAACAUUUGAAGUGACUUAGUGGCGGACGGGUGAGUAACGCGUGGGUAACCUGCCCUGUACUGGGGGACAACAGUUGGAAACGGCUGCUAAUACCGCAUAAGCGCACAGCAUCGCAUGGUGCAGUGUGAAAAACUCCGGUGGUACAGGAUGGACCCGCGUCUGAUUAGCUAGUUGGUGGGGUAACGGCCUACCAAGGCGACGAUCAGUAGCCGGCCUGAGAGGGUGAACGGCCACAUUGGGACUGAGACACGGCCCAGACUCCUACGGGAGGCAGCAGUGGGGAAUAUUGCACAAUGGGCGCAAGCCUGAUGCAGCGACGCCGCGUGAGUGAUGAAGUAUUUCGGUAUGUAAAGCUCUAUCAGCAGGGAAGAAAAUGACGGUACCUGACUAAGAAGCACCGGCUAAAUACGUGCCAGCAGCCGCGGUAAUACGUAUGGUGCAAGCGUUAUCCGGAUUUACUGGGUGUAAAGGGAGCGUAGGCGGCAUGGCAAGUCAGAUGUGAAAGCCCGGGGCCCAACCCCGGAACUGCAUUUGAAACUGUCAGGCUAGAGUACCGGAGAGGUAAGCGGAAUUCCUAGUGUAGCGGUGAAAUGCGUA